rnacentral:tRNA from 7 species
UCUGUAGCUCAGUUGGAUAGAGCAACGGCCUUCUAAGCCGUGGGUCGGGGGUUCGAAUCCCUUCAGGC